rnacentral:misc_RNA from 1 species
UCACCCCUCAAGCCCGGCUUGCUGUUGGUGGCGGCCCGGCCCCCCGCGUCGGGCCCCGCCCAAAGAUAAUGACGGCGUCUGUGAGGACUCCUGUACACUGAGCUUUCGGGCACGUACACGGCCAGAAGUCCGGGCGCCGGUCACCGUCCGCGAGGACACUAUUUUAACCA